AACGAACGCUGGCGGCAUGCCUAACACAUGCAAGUCGAGCGAGACCUUCGGGUCUAGUGGCGCACGGGUGCGUAACGCGUGGGAACCUUCCCUUAGGUUCGGAAUAACUCCCCGACAGGGGUGCUAAUACCGGAUAAUGUCUUCGGACCAAAGAUUUAUCGCACUUGGAUGGGCCCGAGUUGGAUUAGCUAUUUGUUAGGGUAAAAGCCUACCAAGGCGACGAUCCGUAGCUGGUCUGAGAGGAUGAUCAGCCACACUGGGACUGAGACGCGGCCCAGACUCCUACGGGAGGCAGCAGAGGGUAAUAGUGGACAGUGGGCGAAGGCAUGAUCCAGCAAUGCCGCGUGAGUGAUGAAGGCCUUAGGGUAGUAAAGUGCUUUUACCCGGGAUGAUAAUGACAGUACCGGAAGAAUAAGCCCCGGCUAACUACGUG
rnacentral:rRNA from 1 species